UACAGAGGUCCCGAGCGUUUGUUCGGAUUCAUUGGGCGUAAAGGGUGCGUAGGCGGCGGGGCCAGUCUGAUGUGAAAUCCCAGGGCUCAACCCUGGAACUGCAUUGGAUACUGCCUUGCUAGAGUACUGGAGAGGGAACUGGAAUUUACGGUGUAGCAGUGAAAUGCGUAGAGAUCGUAAGGAAGGCCAGUGGCGAAGGCGAGUUCCUGGACAGUGACUGACGCUGAGGCACGAAGGCCAGGGGAGCAAAACGGG
rnacentral:rRNA from 1 species